GUUGAUUUUGGCGCGGCGCUGGUGGUUAGCGCGUGACCACAUAUAGAGGCUAUAGUCCUCGAAGCGGCCGUCCCGGGUUCGAGUCCCGGACCCGGCG